rnacentral:lncRNA from 10 species
CUGCUGAGGGAAGUGAGGAUAGCGUGCAAGAAGCCCCUGUCCCUGGAGAAAAGGAGAGCGGCUGGUCAAGGACACAGAUGAGGCCAUGCUUUCUGGUGCGAAGAUCCAAAGAAUAUCACGCCGUGAUUCUUCUGCUUCUCUGCAUGAAUCCCAAUCAACCAACCAAUCUCUCUCCUCCUCUCACUCACAGUAUCUUCCUACCAUUACACAGCUGGACCUGGGAUAGUCGGCUGGCCGCAAAGGCCUGGGGAAUGAAAUGGCCACUGCAAAAAUUAUGACACUGAGAAAAAUCCGACCUAACCAACUUUAUCUUGCUUUUAACCUCCAAGCUGCCCCUGUUCAUUCCUGGGUGUAGGCCAUGCUAACUAUAAGAGGAAUUUAAUUUAUACUUUAACUGUAAAACAAUGAAAACAGCCCCUUCCCAAAACAAACCCCCUCCUUGUCUGGGGAACAGACUGCAUUUGUAAAACUAACAUUAGAAAUUAAGGCUCAGGAGUCAUGCAGCCAGACCAGCAAACUGGCUCAACUAGUUCUGUGAUCUUACCCAGUAACUGAAGGUAGCAAGAAGACCCUGCCUCAAGCACCUAUAAUUUCAUCCCCAAACCAACCAGUCAGCAUUCCUCACUCCCUGGCCCCCUGCCCACCAAAUUAUUCUUUAAAAACCCUAGCCUCCAAAUUUUGGGAGAAAUUUAUUUGAGUAAUAAAACUUCAGUCUCCCAUUUAGCCAGCCCUGUGUUUAUUAAACUCUUUC